GAUUAAGUUAUUAAGGGCGCACGGUGGAUGCCUUGGCACUAGAAGCCGAUGAAGGACGUUACUAACGACGAUAUGCUUUGGGGAGCUGUAAGUAAGCUUUGAUCCAGAGAUUUCCGAAUGGGGAAACCCAGCAUGAGUUAUGUCAUGUUAUCGAUAUGUGAAUACAUAGCAUAUCAGAAGGCACACCCGGAGAACUGAAACAUCUUAGUACCCGGAGGAAGAGAAAGAAAAUUCGAUUCCCUUAGUAGCGGCGAGCGAAACGGGAAGAGCCCAAACCAACAAGCUUGCUUGUUGGGGUUGUAGGACACUCUAUACGGAGUUACAAAGGACGACAUUAGACGAAUCAUCUGGAAAGAUGAAUCAAAGAAGGUAAUAAUCCUGUAGUCGAAAAUGUUGUCUCUCUUGAGUGGAUCCUGAGUACGACGGAGCACGUGAAAUUCCGUCGGAAUCUGGGAGGACCAUCUCCUAAGGCUAAAUACUCUCUAGUGACCGAUAGUGAACCAGUACCGUGAGGGAAAGGUGAAAAGCACCCCGGAAGGGGAGUGAAAUAGAACCUGAAACCGUGUGCUUACAAGUAGUCAGAGCCCGUUAAUGGGUGAUGGCGUGCCUUUUGUAGAAUGAACCGGCGAGUUACGAUUUGAUGCAAGGUUAAGCAGUAAAUGUGGAGCCGUAGCGAAAGCGAGUCUGAAUAGGGCGUUUAGUAUUUGGUCGUAGACCCGAAACCAGGUGAUCUACCCUUGGUCAGGUUGAAGUUCAGGUAACACUGAAUGGAGGACCGAACCGACUUACGUUGAAAAGUGAGCGGAUGAACUGAGGGUAGCGGAGAAAUUCCAAUCGAACCUGGAGAUAGCUGGUUCUCUCCGAAAUAGCUUUAGGGCUAGCCUCAAGUGAUGAUUAUUGGAGGUAGAGCACUGUUUGGACGAGGGGCCCCUCUCGGGUUACCGAAUUCAGACAAACUCCGAAUGCCAAUUAAUUUAACUUGGGAGUCAGAACAUGGGUGAUAAGGUCCGUGUUCGAAAGGGAAACAGCCCAGACCACCAGCUAAGGUCCCAAAAUAUAUGUUAAGUGGAAAAGGAUGUGGCGUUGCCCAGACAACUAGGAUGUUGGCUUAGAAGCAGCCAUCAUUUAAAGAGUGCGUAAUAGCUCACUAGUCGAGUGACACUGCGCCGAAAAUGUACCG
rnacentral:rRNA from 1 species